GUGGGGAAUAUUGGACAAUGGGGGCAACCCUGAUCCAGCAAUACCGCGUGUGUGAAGAAGGCCUGAGGGUUGUAAAGCACUUUCAGUGGGGAGGAGAGACUCGUUGUUAAUAGCAACGAGAGGAGACGUUACCCACAGAAGAAGCACCGGCUAACUCUGUGCCAGCAGCCGCGGUAAUACAGAGGGUGCAAGCGUUAAUCGGAAUUACUGGGCGUAAAGCGCAUGUAGGUGGAUAAGUAAGUUGGAUGUGAAAUCCCCGGGCUCAACCUGGGUUUGUCAUUCAAAACUGCUUGACUAGAGUAUGGUAGAGGGAAGUGGAAUUUCAGGUGUAGCGGUGAAAUGCGUAGAUAUCUGAAGGAACACCAGUGGCGAAGGCGACUUCCUGGACUGAUACUGACACUGAGAUGCGAAAGCGUGGGGAGCGAACAGG
rnacentral:rRNA from 1 species